UUCCUACAUAAGAAAACUUAUUAUAAUUUGAAAUUUAAUUUGCAGGAAGUGUCCGUCACGAUAUACCGGGAUUGUAAAUUAAACCCAUAACCUACAAUACUUUGUAAACUUUGAGGAUUUAUCAAUUUCGGAAUUUGGAAAUAUAGAACUAAAUUUUCAAAUUCGUACGUUAGUGAAUCCGCUGGCGGGAGUAGUUCGUGAUAGAAGCGGCACGAUAGUACUCGUAUCUGCUCCACCGACUACUGGAACCGAUAAAAAAGCAGGAUUCAAAUCUAACAGAUCUCCGAGACCAUCGGAAGUGUUGCUGUAACUGGUCGAGCAAAAACGGCUACCAAAGAAUUCGAACAGAACUGUACCAUUUUCUCA